AGAGUUUGAUCAUGGCUCAGGAUGAAUGCUGGCGGCGUGCCUAAUACAUGCAAGUCGAGCGGUAAGGCCCUUCGGGGUACACGAGCGGCGGACGGCUGAGUAACGCGUGGGAACAUGCCCAAAGUGAGGGAUAACGCACCGAAAGGUGUGCUAAUACCGCAUAUGGUCUUCGGAAUAAAGGAUUUAUCCGCUUUGGGAGUGGCCCGCGUACGAUUAGAUUGUUGGUGAGGUAACGGCUCACCAAGUCGACGAUCGUUAACUGGUCUGAGAGGAUGAUCAGUCAGACUGGAACUGAGACACGGUCCAGACUCCUACGGGAGGCAGCAGUAAGGAAUCUUCCACAAUGGGCGAAAGCCUGAUGGAGCAACGCCGCGUGCAGGAUGAAGGCCCUCGGGUCGUAAACUGCUUUUAUGAGUGAAGAAUAUGACGGUAACUCAUGAAUAAGCACCGGCUAACUACGUG
rnacentral:rRNA from 1 species